rnacentral:lncRNA from 1 species
UUUCUAUAUAUCGACAUCCAUAUCUUAAAUAAUUAAAAUAAUAAUUUUCUGAUAGAAAGAGAUGAAAACAGAAACGAAUGGGACAAAUUAAACUUUAUUUCGUGUCAUCCAAAUUUAUAUGAAAAUUGCUGUUUGCAACCAAAACCGAAAGAGGAGAUGAAUCAGAUGAUCCGCAAUUGACGAUAAUGAUUACCGCGCGAGGCGCGACGUAUCUUCAGAAAUGGGCCAUCUUGUAGAAGCCUUUUUUUCUUUUUUUUGGGUUAUUACAUCAAAAUCUCCUCAGCCCGACAACGCUGCCAAUUUUUUCUUAAGAACAAAUAAUAAGUCAAAAGUCAAAUUGGGAUGCCUGAUAAUAAUAAUAUGAUGAGUGAGUUGAAAUUAUUGUCCUAAUAAUAAUAAUAACAACAUAAGAAAGUAAAUUGGGGUGCCUGAUAACUAAAAUUAUUAAUAAUAAAGAAAUACAUGGAAACCAAUUAAUUAAUACAAGAGUACAAGACAGAUUAAUUUAUAUAGUCACAUCAAAGUGGAAAAUUAAGCCCCCNN